AGUAGGUAUGGAGAAGCCAAGGGAGGCACUAAGCCUCUCCUGUUCCUAGAACAAGUUAGGCUCCUGUUCCUUCACCCACCUUUCUUCUUGUCUAGCUCCCUACUCCUGUGAGUUAGCAUGUCUGAAGGGUGGGGCAGGGAGGGUAGGCCCCUGGUUCUCCAGGUCCCAGGGAUCCAUGCCUUCCAGUAUGUCAUCUAUGGAACUGCCUCUUUCUUCUUCCUUUAUGGGGCCCUCCUGCUGGCUGAGGGCUUCUACACCACCGGCGCAGUCAGGCAGAUCUUUGGCGACUACAAGACCACCAUCUGCGGCAAGGGCCUGAGCGCAACGGUAACAGGGGGCCAGAAGGGGAGGGGUUCCAGAGGCCAACAUCAAGCUCAUUCUUUGGAGCGGGUGUGUCAUUGUUUGGGAAAAUGGCUAGGACAUCCCGACAAGGUGAUCAUCCUCAGGAUUUUGUGGCAAUAACAAGGGGUGGGGGAAAAUUGGGCGCGAGUCUGUGGCCUCGUCCCCACCCAAGGCUGGGUCCUCUCUAGGGGCCUGGCAUUU
rnacentral:sRNA from 1 species